CCUACGGGUGGCAGCAGUGAGGAAUAUUGGUCAAUGGGCGGAAGCCUGAACCAGCCAAGUCGCGUGAGGGAAUAAGGCCCUACGGGUCGUAAACCUCUUUUGCCGGGGAGCAAGGGCGGGGACGUGUCCCGGCCCGGCGAGUACCCGGAGAAAAAGCCACGGCUAACUCCGUGCCAGCAGCCGCGGUAAUACGGAGGAGGCGAGCGUUAUCCGGAUUUAUUGGGUUUAAAGGGUGCGUAGGCGGACUGUUAAGUCAGCGGUAAAAGCCCGGGGCUCAACCCCGGCGAGCCGUUGGAACUGGCUGUCGUGGGAUGUGGAGAGGUAUGCGGAAUGCGCAGGGUAGCGGGGAAAUGCUUAGAUGUUGAGGAGAACUCCGAGUGCGAAGGCAGCAUACCGGCGGCGAUCUGACGCUGAGGCACGAAAGCGUGGGUAUCGAACAGGAUUAGAUACCCUGGUAGUC
rnacentral:rRNA from 1 species